GGCAAGAGAUCUCCAGGGAAUGCUCACUGCAGACCCUCCUUGGAGAAAGUGUCAGGAAGCCAAUGGAGGGGCUGGGCCUGCUGCCCUUCCUCCACCAGAGGCUGAAGGCAGCAACAGGAGGACUGGGGAGGAUUCAUAUUCUUAAAGGUGGUUGGAGAUCACUAGCUGAGGGGUACAUGAGAAACAGCAAGAGCCUGUUUGUACAAGAAGUUACAGCAAGUCCAGUGCUAUCCCACAAACUCAAAGGAGGUUGCUAAUUUCACAACUCAUCCAGGACCUUCUCCUCCAUCCCAGGACCACCUCAUGCAGCACACUCCAUGAGGAUGGGAUCUCAGGGACACAGUGAAAGGCACAGCUCGCUCAUCCACUUGAUGAACCCAGCACAGGCACAUGACUCUCCCGGCUGAGCACCUCACCUGUGAAGUGGAGGAUCUCCGUCCACUGCUUGCAGAUGUAGAUCUGGACGUCUGUGCCGCCCAAGGCCAAGUAGGUACCGCUCUGGUCAAAUAUGAGGGACUUCACCUACAGAUAAGAGAGAGAUCUGAGCCCCAGGCACAACUCUGAGUCAGACCCAGGGUGCUGCUCUCCCUCCUGUACCAGGCUGCCAGGUACUCACCCCCCCACCCCCCCACACACAUACUAAGCAACCCCUCCCCACACACUCACCUAUUCCUACCAUACACCUGGCUCCCAGAGGGGACCUCUCCCCAUAUACCCACCCUGGGCAUCUGGGGAGAGGGAGAACCCCCAACACACGUGCACACAUCCCAUACCAGGCACUGGCUCCCUGAUGCAGGGAGAAGCCCAGUCAAACUAGGAUGCACAAGGACAUGGAGGAAAAGCUGCCAGGUCACACCCCUCAGCUGGCUCAUAUCGGGGAGAGGUUGUGGGAGCAGGGACAGGGCUUGACAGAGCAGGAGGGUCACACACACCUCA